rnacentral:rRNA from 1 species
UAGGGAAUCUUCCGCAAUGGGCGAAAGCCUGACGGAGCAACGCCGCGUGAGUGAUGAAGGUCUUCGGAUCGUAAAACUCUGUUAUUAGGGAAGAACAAAUGUGUAAGUAACUAUGCACGUCUUGACGGUACCUAAUCAGAAAGCCACGGCUAACUACGUGCCAGCAGCCGCGGUAAUACGUAGGUGGCAAGCGUUAUCCGGAAUUAUUGGGCGUAAAGCGCGCGUAGGCGGUUUUUUAAGUCUGAUGUGAAAGCCCACGGCUCAACCGUGGAGGGUCAUUGGAAACUGGAAAACUUGAGUGCAGAAGAGGAAAGUGGAAUUCCGUGUGUAGCGGUGAGAUGCGCAGAGAUAUGGAGGAACACCAGUGGCGAAGGCGACUUUCUGGUCUGUAACUGACGCUGAUGUGCGAAAGCGUGGGGAUCAAACAGG